rnacentral:rRNA from 1 species
GGGGUAACAGAAAAAAGCUUGCUUUUUUGCUGACGACCGGCGCACGGGUGCGUAACGCGUAUACAAUCUACCGCUUACUGGAGGAUAGCCCAGAGAAAUCUGGAUUAAUACUCCAUAGUAUAUAUAAGAGGCAUCUUUUUUAUAUUAAAGGCUACGGUAAGUGAUGAGUAUGCGUCCUAUUAGCUAGUUGGUAUGGUAAUGGCAUACCAAGGCGACGAUAGGUAGGGGCCCUGAGAGGGGGAUCCCCCACACUGGUACUGAGACACGGACCAGACUCCUACGGGAGGCGGCAGUGAGGAAUAUUGGACAAUGGGCGGAAGCCUGAUCCAGCCAUGCCGCGUGCAGGAAGACUGCCCUAUGGGUUGUAAACUGCUUUUAUACAGGAAGAAACCUUUCCACGUGUGGGAAGCUGACGGUACUGUAAGAAUAAGCAUCGGCUAACUCCGUGCCAGCAGCCGCGGUAAUACGGAGGAUGCAAGCGUUAUCCGGAAUCAUUGGGUUUAAAGGGUCCGUAGGUGGACAGAUAAGUCAGAGGUGAAAUCCUGCAGCUCAACUGUAGAAUUGCCUUUGAUACUGUUUGUCUUGAGUCAUUAUGAAGUGGUUGGAAUGAGUAGUGUAGCGGUGAAAUGCAUGGAUAUUACUCAGAACACCGAUUGCGAAGGCAGAUCACUAAUAAUGUACUGACACUGAUGGACGAAAGCGUGGGGAGCGAACAGGAUUAGAUACCCUGGUAGUCCACGCCGUAAACGAUGGUCACUAGCUGUGUGGAUUUCGGUCUGCGUGGCUAAGCGAAAGUGAUAAGUGACCCACCUGGGGAGUACGUUCGCAAGAAUGAAACUCAAAGGAAUUGACGGGGGGCCCG